GAUGAACGCUGGCGGAGGGAAGAAUACAUGCAAGUCGAGCGAACGGACGAGAAGCUUGCUUCUCUGAUGUUAGCGGCGGACGGGUGAGUAACACGUGGAUAACCUACCUAUAAGAAUGGGAUAACUUCGGGAAACCGGAGCUAAUACCGGAUAAUAUUUUGAACCUCAUGGUUCAAAAGUGAAAGACGGUCUUGCUGUCACUUAUAGAUGGAUCCGCGCUGCAUUAGCUAGUUGGUAAGGUAACGGCUUACCAAGGCAACGAUGCAUAGCCGACCUGAGAGGGUGAUCGCCCACACGGGAACUGAGACACGGUCCCGACUCCUACGGGAGGCAGCAGUAGGGAAUCUUCCGCAAUGGGCGAAAGCCUGACGGAGCAACGCCGCGUGAGUGAUGACGGUCUUCGGAUCGUAAAACUCUGUUAUUAGGGAAGAACAUAUGUGUAAGUAACUGUGCACAUCUUGACGGUACCUAAUCAGAAAGCCACGGCUAACUACGUG
rnacentral:rRNA from 1 species